rnacentral:rRNA from 1 species
UACGUAAGGGGCAAGCGUUAUCCGGAUUUACUGGGUGUAAAGGGAGCGUAGACGGUAAUACAAGUCUGAUGUGAAAACCCAGGGCUCAACCCUGGGACUGCAUUGGAAACUGUAUAACUAGAGUGCAGGAGAGGCAAGUGGAAUUCCUAGUGUAGCGGUGAAAUGCGUAGAUACUAGGAGGAACACCAGUGGCGAAGGCGGCUUGCUGGACUGUAACUGACGUUGAGGCUCGAAAGCGUGGGGAGCAAAC